rnacentral:rRNA from 1 species
AACGAACGCUGGCGGCGUGCCUAACACGUGCAAGUCGAACGAGAAAGCCCGCAAGGGUAAGUAGAGUGGCGAACGGGUGAGUAAUGAAUAGGAACGUACCUAUAGGUGGGGGAUAACCAAGGGAAACUUUGGCUAAUACCGCAUAUCAUCGCAAGAUGAAAGGGGGCGUCGGGUAACCGAGCUCUCGCCAAUAGAGCGGCCUAUUUCCCAUUAGCUAGUUGGUAGGGUAAAGGCCUACCAAGGCUACGAUGGGUAGCUGGUCUGAGAGGACGAUCAGCCACACUGGAACUGAGACACGGUCCAGACUCCUACGGGAGGCAGCAGUGGGGAAGCUUGCACAAUGGGCGAAGGCCUGAUGCAGCAACGCCGCGUGAGUGAAGAAGGCCUUUGGGUUGUAAAGCUCUUUCGGCUGGGAAGAGGGGAGCAUGUGUUAAUACCAUAUGCUUUUGACGGUACCAGCAUAAGAAGCACCGGCUAAUUCCGUGCCAGCCGCCGCCGUAA